rnacentral:lncRNA from 1 species
GAGCGCUCCCCCGGAGCUCUGGAGUUCUCCCGGGAUCUCUCCUCGGCUAGAGCCCAGGCCAGCGCGCGAGCCGCUCUUUGUGGCAGAGCAUCCUCUUUUGAAACCAGAAUUCUCUUCCCAUUAGCACCACUUCUAGACACCCGCUUUCCCCACCGGAGUCCAAUCCAUUCCCCUCACCUUCCGGAGGGGCCUCGCACCGGACUGCCGCGGAAUUGCCAAUAAAUGACUGAUAAAAAUGAGAAAAAAAUCAGAAGAGAAGAAUAUGAUGGAAAAAAAAAAGAAGAAAAUCUAGUUAUUUUGGAGCUGGCACCACAAAGAAGGAAAAGGAAAGUGAUGGUGGAUAUAAGAAACAUAAGAAGGAAAGGCAAUGUGGAAUACCUGGGACAUCUCAGAGGAAAGAUUUUGUGACUGAGACAACAAAAUAACUUCAACAUAUAGGAUGUGCAAAAAGAAAAUGUAGAUACAAUUCAAGGAAGUUUUAACAAACAGUAUGUAAACUUGAAUUCAAGGACUUAUUUGCAUGGUUAAAUGAGUUUAAGCAUCACUUGAAUUAAUGCUCUCAUUCUUAGGUUAGACUCCUGAGAUAACCCUGCUGGAUAGUUAGCAGACAUCUUAGCAUUGUUGUUAUGUAUGCUAAAGUUGUACUUAACUUCUAAU